AUGUCAAGGCUUUGCUUUUGCACCCACUUAAAUAGUUGUCCAGAUCUCAAAGGAACUAUCGUACUUCAUAGUUAUCUGACGCCACUGUGGAUUUUUACUAUCGUCCCCAACCGCUUCACACAGAUUACUGGACGCAGCAGGCCUAGAAGACGCUUGGUAUUUGAUCAAGAAUUUAUAAAGCUGGUGGAGACAAGCAUCACCAGCGCAAUUCAGUACCAUCAGAACAGGGGCCUCCGAAUGAUGCCUAUCGCUCUUGCUUCAGCCAUAUCCAACCAGAAAGGCACUUCUGCUGCUGCAAUCCCUCUUGAAAAGGGAAAACAAAAGGCACAUCAUGCUCCUCCCAUCAGCAUACAGAAACAGAUUGCGAAAACGUGCUAG
rnacentral:rRNA from 1 species